AUGGCCAGCCCUAGCCACCACGAGCUUAGCUUUGUCCACCUCCUCACAGGCGAGCGAUUUCGCCUCCCCCAUCCACCGUCACCCUUCUGUCGCCUCCUUCUCUCUGGCAAUCUCGUCCUUGCCUUUGUUCCGACGGUCGGCCGUGCCGUCCAGUACUGUCGCCUUGGGGAUAUUGAGUGGCGUGUGGCAUCAUGCACUGAACCCUAUGUGCUUGAGGAUUUGAUCUUUCACAAGGGCAACCUGCAUGCGUUGGUCAGAUCUGAAGAUGCCAGCAGCCUAUGUUACCGUCUCGCUGUGGCCAAUCUGUCAGACAAGAAUUUGGUGGAAUUCAAAUUUCUUGGAGAUCAUUUGGAAUCACAGGCUGCACAUGGGAGUUUAUAUUUCUGUCUCGCUGAGUGUCUCGAUGAGUUGUUGCUCAUUGCCGCCGUUGGGGGCUUCCCAGAGAAGUUCCAUGUUUUCCGGUGGCAGUCAAGGGAGGGGAAGUGGACAAGGACUACUAGCCUUGGUGACUGCACAUUGUUCUUGACAUAUUUUUACUUUGUAGGCUAUGUUGUUCCGAUGAAAGGAAUGACAUGCUUUUCAGGUUAUUUCUUUGCAAGUUACCUUGGUCCAGACCAUCCAGGAGUUCGAAGGGACUGCUUAUACUUCACAGAUGCCAAAAGAAAGUGGAUCGAGUAUUCCUUGGCCGAUGGAUCUUGUGAUGAAUUUGUUGCUGACAACUUAGAGGGAGCUUCAAGGCCUGAUUCCGAUUUCAGGGCACCUGUUUGGGUCUUUCCGAGCAUGUGUUGA
rnacentral:rRNA from 1 species